rnacentral:rRNA from 1 species
UGCAGUCGAGCGAAGCGGUUUUAAGGAAGUUUUCGGAUGGAAUUAAAACUGACUGAGCGGCGGACGGGUGAGUAACGCGUGGGUAACCUGCCUCAUACAGGGGGAUAACAGUUAGAAAUGGCUGCUAAUACCGCAUAAGCACACAGCUUCGCAUGGAGCAGUGUGAAAAACUCCGGUGGUAUGAGAUGGACCCGCGUCUGAUUAGCUAGUUGGUAAGGUAACGGCUUACCAAGGCGACGAUCAGUAGCCGACCUGAGAGGGUGACCGGCCACAUUGGGACUGAGACACGGCCCAAACUCCUACGGGAGGCAGCAGUGGGGAAUAUUGCACAAUGGGGGAAACCCUGAUGCAGCGACGCCGCGUGAGUGAAGAAGUAUCUCGGUAUGUAAAGCUCUAUCAGCAGGGAAGAAAAUGACGGUACCUGACUAAGAAGCCCCGGCUAACUACGUGCCAGCAGCCGCGGUAAUACGUAGGGGGCAAGCGUUAUCCGGAUUUACUGGGUGUAAAGGGAGCGUAGACGGCGGAGCAAGUCUGAAGUGAAAGCCCGGGGCUCAACCCCGGGACUGCUUUGGAAACUGUUCUGCUAGAGUGCUGGAGAGGUAAGUGGAAUUCCUAGUGUAGCGGUGAAAUGCGUAGAUAUUAGGAGGAACACCAGUGGCGAAGGCGGCUUACUGGACAGUAACUGACGUUGAGGCUCGAAAGCGUGGGGAGCAAACAGGAUUAGAUACCCUGGUAGUC